UACGUAGGGUGCGAGCGUUAAUCGGAAUUACUGGGCGUAAAGCGUGCGCAGGCGGUUUAUGUAAGACAGUUGUGAAAUCCCCGGGCUCAACCUGGGAACUGCAUUUGUGACUGUAGAGCUGGAGUACGGCAGAGGGGGAUGGGAAUUCCGCGUGUAGCAGUGAAAUGCGUAGAUAUGCGGAGGAACACCGAUGGCGAAGGCAAUCCCCUGGGCCUGUACCGACGCUCAUGCACGAAAGCGUGGGGAGCAAACAGG
rnacentral:rRNA from 1 species